CCAGGCUCUGCGGUGGGCUGUGCAUAGUGUGGGCUUCCUGGGCCCCACAGGCCAGGGCAGGAAAAGACUGCAGCAGGAGGGACACAUCUCAAAGGGCCUGCUGGGUCGGCUCGAAGCACACUUCUUGUAGACAGUGUCUGGGAAGGACCUCAGGGGACAGAACUUGCCGGUGCCCUCAGCGCACAUGAAGACACCGUUCUCAUACACCACCCGCCCCCGGCUGAUGGUGACCAGCGGCACGCCAUGGCAGCGCAUGUUCUCGUACAGGUUGAAGUCUCCUCCCUGCACCUGGGUGCUGGCCGAGAUGGUCCUGGCGGGGAAGAAGUGGUGGAAGAGGGAGCUCUGAGGAGAGGCAAAGACGCCACAGCUCAACGGGAACGGAGGAAAAGAAAAUUGAGACACCAGGAGGACACACAGAGGAAACCCCACGUGAGGAGGGAGAAGACGGCCACCUGCAAGCCAAGGAGGGAGGCCGCAGGAUGCAUCCACCCUGCCGACACCUCCAUCUGACUUCUAGCUCCCAGAACCGUGAGGAAACAGAUUUCUGCCGUGUGAGCCCCCAAGCUGCGGUAUGUUUUAAAGCAGCCCUCGCACCCUCGCACACGGGGCUAAACUCUAGGGUCUUUCCACCAACAGCUGACCCAUCACAGGGACAGGGACCAGCCCCUGGCUUCAGGAUGCAGAACAGGGCUUCUCGAGGCCCUGACAGAGAGCACAGUAUGGGGGCCCUGUGUGGGCUUUCUUUCGUUUUCAGCUUCCCGCACAUUUCUGUCUACCCUGUCCACUGCCAGCUUGUGCACCUAGAAAAGCGCCCGCCAAACAGCAGCACUUAAUAAAUUCAGGGGUGGGCAAGGGUGGGCAAUAAUAGAACACAGAGUUCUAUUAUUAUUAACUAAUUAAUUAUUGCAUUACUUACUAUUAUUAACCUACUUUUGCCACCCCUGUAUUUGAUGACUGAAUGAAAUGUAAUAUUAAAAACGCGGCCAUGCCGAAACCGGUUUGGCUCAGUGGAUAGAGCGUCGGCUUGCGGACUGAAAGGUCCCAGGUUUGAUUCCGGUCAAGGGCAUGUACCUGGGUUGCGGGC